AGUGACUGAUGCCCGAUGAGAAGGUGAACGUGAAAUAUACCUUUGUCAGCUUCAAGAAAGGAACCACGAGACAGGUGACUGAUGCCUGAUGAAAAGGUGAACGUGACAUAUACCUUUGUCAGCUUCAAGAAAGGAACCACGAGACAGACCCGCACAGGAGAACAUCAGUGACGUCACUCGUCAGGCCAACGCCGGAGAGAAGCGCACAGCAGGACAGGGGACUAAUGCCCGAUGAGAAGGUGAACGUGACAUAUACCCUCGUCAGCUACAAGAAAGGACAGGUGACUGAUGCCUGAUAAAAAGGUGAACGUGACACAUACCUUUGUCAGCUUCAAGAAAGGAACCACGAGACAGGUAAUUAAU